CGAGGAGCUGUGUGAGCUCCACGCAAGUUUGACGAUUAUUCAUUAAUGUUCUAUGAAUUUUUGAGUUUUGAAAUUUAUGUGUGUGGUGUGUAAUUGAUAAUCUGAAAAAAAAAGACAAAAAAGUUGAAGACAAUGAAAAUAAUAACAUCAAUAAUAAUUAUUACAUAUUUAGUAACCUUAAUCAACACACAUCCCAUCUCUAAGAAUGAAGGUCUACGAUCAAAGACAUUGGAACAUGUCGUAGUCACUGAUAAAGAUGAAGAUCCAGCACUCAGAGGCAAAAGGACUAUUGGUGUAUUACGUCAAUUCUUUCCGGAUAUUACUAAAAUAAUUGAUGAUAAAGUCAACAUGAUAGUGUCUGAGAUCAUACGAGCACUUGGACCAACUGUUUUACGAGGUUUUUUGGGCGGUGGAGCAUUUGGUAAUGGAAAUGGCAAUGAUAGUCCAAGGGAUAAAGAUGAUGGAUCAACUGUGACAAUAGCUGCACCUCCAGAUGGAGAGUUUGAUGAUGAUGAUGACGAUGAUUUUAAUACUGAUUCACAGCAAAAUAAAUCUCGAGUGUCUAUUCCUAUACCAGAAGAUUUAUCAACAUUGAAUUCAAUAGAUACAUCAACUUCUUCGACUAAAUUAUUUACACAGAAUUCUUCUACUACGGAUGAAACUCUAAACGAUACAGAAGGACGUAAACCCCGAAGCGGAAAAUCAAGUAUCAGACGGAGACGUCGCGGAAUCACAGAAGAACGAAAUCAAAGUUCAAUUUGGAAACAGUCAAACAGAUUCAAUAAACGAAGCAUCAGAACCGGGAUUAGCUCCAUUGGAAGAAAUUCAAGUUACAGACGACGACGAGAACAGGAACAAAAGAUUCCUGAAUUUUGGCUUCGGAAGUAGUAAUUUAGCAUCAGGUGGAGGCAGUGGAGGCGGCUCUGGAAACUUUCUCUUUGACAUUAUAAGACAAGCAGCAGACGGGGCGGCAAGAGCGGCUGGGACGGUUUACCGUGUGGUAGCCGGCACACAAAGUCUCGGUCUAGGUCUAAGCGCUUCGCGUGACCUAGGUCCGUCCCCUACACCCGC
rnacentral:misc_RNA from 1 species